CCUACGGGAGGCAGCAGUGAGGAAUAUUGGUCAAUGGGCGCGAGCCUGAACCAGCCAAGUCGCGUGAGGGAAGACGGUCCUAUGGAUUGUAAACCUCGUUUGUCGGGGAGCAAAAGACGCCACGCGUGGCGUUCCGAGAGUCUCCGUAGAAAAAGCAUCGGCUAACUCUGCGCCAGCAGCCGCGGUAAUACGGAGGAUGCGAGCGUUAUCCGGAGUUAUUGGGGUUAAAGGUUGCGCAGGCGGAAGAUCAAGUCAGCGGUAAAAUUGAGAGGCUUAACCUCUACGAGCGGUUGAAACUGGUUGUCUUGAGUGAACGAGAGGUAUGCGGAAUGCGUAGUGUAGCGGUGAAAUGCAUAGAUAUCACGCAGAACACCGAUUGCGAAGGCAGCAUACCGGCGCUCAACUGACGCUGAGGCACGAAAGUGUGGGUAGCGAACAGGAUUAGAUACCCUUGUAGUC
rnacentral:rRNA from 1 species